ACGCACGCUGGCGGCGUGCUUAACCCCUGCACGUCGCACGGAAAGGCCCUGCUUUUGUGGGGUGCUCGAGUGGCGAACGGGUGAGUAACACGUGAGUAACCUGCCCUUGACUUUGGGAUAACUUCAGGAAACUGGGGCUAAUACCGGAUAGGAGCUCCUGCUGCAUGGUGGGGGUUGGAAAGUUUCGGCGGUUGGGGAUGGACUCGCGGCUUAUCAGCUUGUUGGUGGGGUAGUGGCUUACCAAGGCUUUGACGGGUAGCCGGCCUGAGAGGGUGACCGGCCACAUUGGCACUGAGAUACGGCCCAGACUCCUACGGGAGGCAGCAGUGGGGAAUAUUGCACAAUGGGCGGAAGCCUGAUGCAGCAACGCCGCGUGCGGGAUGACGGCCUUCGGGUUGUAAACCGCUUUCGCCUGUGACGAAGCGUGAGUGACGGUAAUGGGUAAAGAAGCACCGGCUAACUACGUG
rnacentral:rRNA from 1 species